rnacentral:pre_miRNA from 1 species
AACUUUGAAAUUCGAUCUGAUAUAAAAUAUUAUAAGCUCGAUAUUUAAAGUGGU